GACGAACGCUGGCGGCGUGCUUAACACAUGCAAGUCGAACGCUGAAGCUCAGCUUUUGUUGGGUGGAUGAGUGGCGAACGGGUGAGUAACACGUGAGUAACCUGCCCCCUUCUUUGGGAUAACGCCCGGAAACGGGUGCUAAUACUGGAUAUUCACUGGUCUUCGCAUGGGGGUUGGUGGAAAGGGUUUUUCUGGUGGGGGAUGGGCUCGCGGCCUAUCAGCUUGUUGGUGGGGUGAUGGCCUACCAAGGCUUUGACGGGUAGCCGGCCUGAGAGGGUGACCGGUCACAUUGGGACUGAGAUACGGCCCAGACUCCUACGGGAGGCAGCAGUGGGGAAUAUUGCACAAUGGGCGCAAGCCUGAUGCAGCGAUGCCGCGUGAGGGAUGGAGGCCGUCGGGUUGUGAACCUCUUUCGCUCAUGGUCAAGCCGCAACAAUGGUUGUGGUGAGGGUAGUGGGUAAAGAAGCGCCGGCUAACUACGUG
rnacentral:rRNA from 1 species